UUCCAUUGAACACAGAGCUCAUCUCUUUGGUAUUUAGUAAGCUACUGCUACCUGCCUGGUCUGCUGUGUUUCCCAGUGGCCUUAGGUGACCCUUGUGAAAGGGUCAGCCCCCAGGGGGUCAUGUCCCACAAGGAAUCGAUGAGAAGAAAAGAUUGGCAGAGCUCAGUGGAUUUCUCCUCUGAUAUCUGGCUGUUUGCAUCUUUAUUAUCCACUGGAAUCCUCUGCAUCUUGGGCUGCUUUAAAGAUGUCACUGGUAUCUAAAGAAGAGGCCAAGGAAGCUGCUGAACGCCCUGCGGUGCACAGGGCAGCCCCACCACAAGGUUGCUCAACUUAAUGCCAGCUGCUUCAAGGUUGAGAAAUUCAGCUUCGUUCUUCACCCAGAACUCAUCUGAGCUGUGACUCUCCUUACGUCAUAGAUGAUAAUUCCAGAAGCACGUAUAUGUUGAUAUUUCACAUUUAAAAAUGCAAACAUGAACCAGUAAGAGACAUUUCCCAUCUCUGUGUAGCAUCUCUGUACAUCAUCAGUGAGUCAUGGGUUAUAAGAGGCAUGCCUUUGGCUGUUAGGAUCCCUUCUGCUCAAUUCAUUUCCUGUCCACCAUGAGAUAAGUAGCUCCUGUCACAUGCUCUGCCUGCUGUGACACUCUGCUGUACUGUUUACCCAGAAUCAAUGAAGCAGGACUACAGACCGAUUUCUCUGAUGCUGUGAGCCAAAAUAAACCAU
rnacentral:lncRNA from 1 species